GGAUAAUGUAUUCACCUCUAAAAUCACAAUUAUGUUUUUCCCAUUUUCAUCUGAAUAUGGAUUACCAAUAUACUCCUCUCACUUGGAUUUCCAUAUGAAAGAAGUAUAAACACUUGCAUCGAACAGUAUGAUUUUCUGAGCCAAGUGCUCAGUUCAAUAUGGCAUGUUUAUGCUUUGAGAGAAGCACUUCUCUGAAAGUCACAAUUUGGAACCCAAAGAUACGCAUCAACACGAUGGUUGCAUGAGCAGUUCCAGACUUCCAGGGCCAUAUAGGCCAAGAUGGUAAGCAUGUCUUCGUGUCUGAUUAUAAGUUAGUUGUAGAAGUAUUCCAUGCUACUAUUUGUACACCAAAACUGGCUACCAGGUUGAGAUUUGAGAUCGGAUGUUGCGCCAAGAACAAGGGACCAAGGUGCUGAACUAACAACAAGGGGAGAGGAUUCUUGAGAUACCAACAGAGCUAUAGACCAGAUAAUUAAGUUAACGUUUGCUUUUCUUGAAACUCGAAAUCGUAGUUAUUCUAUACAUUCACUAAUUUGGUAUGAUCUUAAUCUAGGAGGAUUAUCACUGUAUGAUAUGAGAUCCCGACGUUUAGCAGUGAUAAAAGUCCGACUUUGAAUGGUUCUUUUCAGAAGUACAAUUGUAAGAUCUAUGAUUCUAGCUUUGAACUUUAACUUG
rnacentral:lncRNA from 1 species